GAUGAACGCUGGCGGUAUGCUUAACACAUGCAAGUCGAACGGUCACUUCGGUGAUAGUGGCGGACGGGUGAGUAACGCGUGAGAAUCUGUCUUCAGGUCGGGGACAACAGUUAGAAAUGACUGCUAAUACCGGAUGUGCCUUUGGGUGAAAGAUUUAUUGCCUGAAAAAGAGCUCGCGUCAGAUUAGCUAGUAGGUGGUGUAAGAGACUACCUAGGCUCCGAUCUGUAGCUGGUCUGAGAGGACGAUCAGCCACACUGGAACUGAGACACGGUCCAGACUCCUACGGGAGGCAGCAGUGGGGAAUUUUCCGCAAUGGGCGAAAGCCUGACGGAGCACUACCGCGUGAGGGACGAAGGCUUUUGGGUCGUAAACCUCUUUUCUCAAGGAAGAUGAUGACGGUACUUGAGGAAUAAGCAUCGGCUAACUCUGUG
rnacentral:rRNA from 1 species